rnacentral:rRNA from 1 species
AGAACGAACGCUGGCGGCAUGCCUAACACAUGCAAGUCGAACGACCCUGGAUUUCGGUCUGGGGUAGUGGCGCACGGGUGCGUAACGCGUGGGAAUCUGCCCUUGGGUUCGGAAUAACAGUGGGAAACUACUGCUAAUACCGGAUGAUGUCGCCCAGGAAACUGAGCGACCAAAGAUUUAUCGCCCGAGGAUGAGCCCGCGUAGGAUUAGCUAGUUGGUGAGGUAAUGGCUCACCAAGGCGACGAUCCUUAGCUGGUCUGAGAGGAUGAUCAGCCACACUGGGACUGAGACACGGCCCAGACUCCUACGGGAGGCAGCAGUGGGGGAAUAUUGGACAAUGGGCGCAAGCCUGAUCCAGCAAUGCCGCGUGAGUGAUGAAGGCCUUAGGGUUGUAAAGCUCUUUUACCAGGGAUGAUAAUGACAGUACCUGGAGAAUAAGCUCCGGCUAACUCCGCGCCAGCAGCCGCGGU